AUUGAACGCUGGCGGCAGGCCUAACACAUGCAAGUCGAACGAGUGGCGGACGGGUGAGUAAUGUCUGGGAAACUGCCUGAUGGAGGGGGAUCACUUCUGGAAACGGUAGCUUAUACCGCAUUCUCUCAUCUGUCCCCAGAUGUGAUUUGCGAGUUGGUGGGGUAACGGCUCACCAAGGCGACGAUCCCUAGCUGUUCUGAGAGGAUGACCAGCCACACUGGAACUGAGACACGGUCCAGAAUGCUACGGGAGGCAGCAGUGGGAAAUAUUGCACAAUGGGCGCAAGCCUGAUGCAGCCAUGCCGCGUGUAUGAAGAAGGCCUUCGGGUUGUAAAGUACUUUCAGCGGGGAGGCGUUACCCGAAGAAGAAGCACCGGCUAACUCCGUGCCAGCAGCCGCGGUAAUUC
rnacentral:rRNA from 1 species